ACAAUUCUAAAACAUGGCACUAACCUUCUUCGCAGGCAUGACUUUAAAUAUCGCUGGAGGCCUUCCUGCGCACUCACCAUCCAACACGGGUCGGACUCUCACCAGAUCCGGGACCUGGGAUAUGUAGCAGCACUACUGCGGGCCUUGGGACUGCCCCAGGACUCACUUACUCAGACUGGUCCGCAGAGGGCAGCCUCUCCAAACCACACUUGGGACACAACAAGAACAGUCCCGUUCGUUCCACAAAACUGCUCUCUGAUGCAAUGUCUGUUCCUACUCGGACUGUAUCAGGCCAAUGUACAUGCCUAACCAGUAUGGAUUUGAUUAUAGCAUCUGUUUCAUUUUCAGUAUCAUAGGGGUUUGUUUAUUUGUUAACUGUAUGUUUUCACUUUAUUUUCACUUUUCUUUUUAAACAUAUUGUACUCUCCAGAUUAAUCAGAUGUUAUGCGCACCAGUUACCUAAAAUUCCUACGCUUGUCUACACAACGGGUUUAGUCGUAGGGGAUAGCUUGUCCCGUUCCCCAAGUCACUUUGUCUCCCCACCAAGUACCCCCUCCUGCACUAACACGUUAGAUGGAUCUCACUACCCAUACCUGCAUUGGGACACACGUAGUCCAAGUAACAUACCAUAGCAAAAAGACACGUCCUACAAAAGUCUAACCUGCAACAUACAGGCAGCCCCUAUUGGCAGCAAGCGUAAACCCGGGCUGACAUCCAUCACUCUGCAUCACUCUAU